rnacentral:miRNA from 1 species
UAGCUCUUCCUGUUUGGAUAU